GAUGAACGCUGGCGGCGUGCCUAAUACAUGCAAGUCGAACGAAACUUCUUUAUCACUGAGUGCUUGCACUCACCGAUAAAGAGUUGAGUGGCGAACGGGUGAGUAACACGUGGGCAACCUGCCCAAAAGAGGGGGAUAACACUUGGAAACAGGUGCUAAUACCGCAUAACCAUAGUUACCGCAUGGCGACUAUGUAAAAGGUGGCUAUGCUACCGCUUUUGGAUGGGCCCGCGGCGCAUUAGCUAGUUGGUGAGGUAAAGGCUUACCAAGGCAAUGAUGCGUAGCCGAACUGAGAGGUUGAUCGGCCACAUUGGGACUGAGACACGGCCCAAACUCCUACGGGAGGCAGCAGUAGGGAAUCUUCCACAAUGGGCGAAAGCCUGAUGGAGCAACGCCGCGUGGGUGAAGAAGGUCUUCGGAUCGUAAAACCCUGUUGUUAGAGAAGAGAGUGCGUGAGAGUAACUGUUCACGUUUCGACGGUAUCUAACCAGAAAGCCACGGCUAACUACGUGCCAGCAGCCGCGGUAAUACGUANGUGGCAAGCGUUAUCCGGAUUUAUUGGGCGUAAAGGGAACGCAGGCGGUCUUUUAAGUCUGAUGUGAAAGCCUUCGGCUUACCGGAGUAGUGCAUUGGAAACUGGGAGACUUGAGUGCAGAAGAGGAGAGUGGAACUCCAUGUGUAGCGGUGAAAUGCGUAGAUAUAUGGAAGAACACCAGUGGCGAAAGCGGCUCUCUGGUCUGUAACUGACGCUGAGGUUCGAAAGCGUGGGUAGCAAACAGGAUUAGAUACCCUGGUAGUCCACGCCGUAAACGAUGAAUGCUAAGUGUUGGAGGGUUUCCGCCCUUCAGUGCUGCAGCUAACGCAAUAAGCAUUCCGCCUGGGGAGUACGACCGCAAGGUUGAAACUCAAAGGAAUUGACGGGGGCCCGCACAAGCGGUGGAGCAUGUGGUUUAAUUCGAAGCAACGCGAAGAACCUUACCAGGUCUUGACAUCUUCUGACAAUCCUAGAGAUAGGACUUUCCCUUCGGGGACAGAAUGACAGGUGGUGCAUGGUUGUCGUCAGCUCGUGUCGUGAGAUGUUGGGUUAAGUCCCGCAACGAGCGCAACCCUUAUUGUUAGUUGCCAGCAUUAAGUUGGGCACUCUAGCAAGACUGCCGGUGACAAACCGGAGGAAGGUGGGGAUGACGUCAAAUCAUCAUGCCCCUUAUGACCUGGGCUACACACGUGCUACAAUGGACGGUACAACGAGUCGCAAGACCGCGAGGUUUAGCAAAUCUCUUAAAGCCGUUCUCAGUUCGGAUUGUAGGCUGCAACUCGCCUACAUGAAGUCGGAAUCGCUAGUAAUCGCGGAUCAGCAUGCCGCGGUGAAUACGUUCCCGGGCCU
rnacentral:rRNA from 1 species